rnacentral:rRNA from 1 species
GAUGAACGCUGGCGGCGUGCCUAAUACAUGCAAGUCGAGCGAACAGACGAGGAGCUUGCUCCUCUGACGUUAGCGGCGGACGGGUGAGUAACACGUGGAUAACCUACCUAUAAGACUGGGAUAACUUCGGGAAACCGGAGCUAAUACCGGAUGAUAUUUUGAACCGCAUGGUUCAAUAGUGAAAGACGGUUUUGCUGUCACUUAUAGAUGGAUCCGCGCUGCAUUAGCUAGUUGGUAAGGUAACGGCUUACCAAGGCGACGAUGCGUAGCCGACCUGAGAGGGUGAUCGGCCACACUGGAACUGAGACACGGUCCAGACUCCUACGGGAGGCAGCAGUAGGGAAUCUUCCGCAAUGGGCGAAAGCCUGACGGAGCAACGCCGCGUGAGUGAUGAAGGUCUUCGGAUCGUAAAACUCUGUUAUUAGGGAAGAACAAAUGUGUAAGUAACUAUGCACGUCUUGACGGUACCUAAUCAGAAAGCCACGGCUAACUACGUG